rnacentral:rRNA from 1 species
GACGAACGCUGGCGGCGUGCUUAACACAUGCAAGUCGAACGGAAAGGCCCUGCUUUUGUGGGGUGCUCGAGUGGCGAACGGGUGAGUAACACGUGAGUAACCUGCCCUUGACUGUGGGAUAACUUCAGGAAACUGGGGCUAAUACCGGAUAGGAGCUCCUGCUGCAUGGUGGGGGUUGGAAAGUUUCGGCGGUUGGGGAUGGACUCGCGGCUUAUCAGCUUGUUGGUGGGGUAGUGGCUUACCAAGGCUUUGACGGGUAGCCGGCCUGAGAGGGUGACCGGCCACAUUGGGCCUGAGAUACGGCCCAGACUCCUACGGGAGGCAGCAGUGGGGAAUAUUGCACAAUGGGCGGAAGCCUGAUGCAGCAACGCCGCGUGCGGGAUGACGGCCUUCGGGUUGUAAACCGCUUUCGCCUGUGACGAAGCGUGAGUGACGGUAAUGGGUAAAGAAGCACCGGCUAACUACGUG